GACGAACGCUGGCGGCGUGCUUAACACAUGCAGGUCGAACGGAAAGGCCCUGCUUUUGUGGGGUGCUAGAGUGGCGAACGGGUGAGUAACACGUGAGUAACCUGCCCUUGACUUUGGGAUAACUUCAGGAAACUGGGGCUAAUACCGGAUAGGAGCUCCUGCUGCAUGGUGGGGGUUGGAAAGUUUCGGCGGUUGGGGAUGGACUCUCGGCUUAUCAGCUUGUUGGUGGGGUAGUGGCUUACCAAGGCAUUGACGGGUAGCCGGCCUGAGCGGGUGACCGGCCACAUUGGGACUGAGAUACGGCCCAGUCUCCUACGGGAGGCAGCAGUGGGGAAUAUUGCACAAUGGGCGGAAGCCUGAUGCAGCAACGCCGCGUGCGGGAUGACGGCCUUCGAGUUGUAAACCGCUUUCGCCUGUGACGAAGCGUGAGUGACGGUAAUGGGUAAAGAAGCACCGGCUAACUACGUG
rnacentral:rRNA from 1 species